GACACCUCCUCAGUGCCCCUCAGGUGCAUGUCCCAUAGAUGUGGCCUUCCUGGGGUGGGAGGUUUUACAGCUGAGGCAGUUUGUGUAAGGGAGGAUGGGUCGCUGAUGUGCUGGGAAUUCAGUACACAUCCCCAGAGCAGAGCCUGACGAUGGAGCUCCUCAGCUUUAUUUCACCAUGCAAUCCCAGGCAGCUAGACAACUUCUGUGUCUCUAGAAUACAGACAAAUUUACAGAGUAGUGGGUUUGGACCACAAAAUGCUGAUGCGAAGACAGAACUAGCCCAACCUGCAGGACUCUUCCCAUUCAGAUCUUUUUCUCAACCCAUUAGGUUACCUCUCAACAUUUGUUUCUUGCUGCCUGAGUCUCUGGGGAUGUAGGAAACAAAGACCGUCACGUUUUUUUGCCUUUAGCGCUGAACAGUGCUGUGGCUUCUCUGGUUACCGUAUGUCCCAAAAAGCAAAUGUGGGGUGCCAGA